rnacentral:ncRNA from 1 species
GCCGGGUCCGGAGAGGUGGCAGAGCGGUUGAAUGUACCUGACUCGAAAUCAGGCAGGCGUUUAUAGCGCCUCGAGGGUUCGAAUCCCUCCCUCUCCGCCAGACGUUGCAAGAAGGGGCCCGA